GUACUUUACCUGUGUUAAUUUACCCAGUAACUGGUAAAAGGUAAUUUACUUCUUGGAUUUUCUCCAGCGGAUUCAUUUUUCUCGUUUCCCCAACAAGUAUAUCCUUGAUAUGUUCAUCCCAACCGGUGACGAAUAUUCUUCCUGUCUGGUUUUCUACCCAGUAAAAAGGUCAUCGUAAUCCUUAUUAUUCCCCAGGGAGUCUAUCCUUGAUAUGUUCACUCUAACCGGUGAUGAAUUUUCUCUUUCUUUGGUAUUCUACCUAGUAGCUGGUAGUGUUAGUUACUAUUU
rnacentral:lncRNA from 1 species